CCUACGGGAGGCAGCAGUCGAGAAUCAUUCACAAUGGGGGAAACCCUGAUGGUGCGACGCCGCGUGGGGGAAUGAAGGUCUUCGGAUUGUAAACCCCUGUCAUGUGGGAGCAAAUUAAAAAGAUAGUACCACAAGAGGAAGAGACGGCUAACGCUGUGCCAGCAGCCGCGGUAAUACAGAGGUCUCAAGCGUUGUUCGGAAUCACUGGGCGUAAAGCGUUCGUAGGCUGUUUCGUAAGUCGUGUGUGAAAGGCGCGGGCUCAACCCGCGGACGGCACAUGAUACUGCGAGACUAGAGUAAGGGAGGGGGAACCGGAAUGCUCGGUGUAGCAGUGAAAUGCGUAGAUAUCGAGAGGAACACUCGUGGCGAAGGCGGGUUCCUGGACAUUAACUGACGCUGAGGCACGAAGGCCAGGGGAGCGAAAGGGAUUAGAUACCCUAGUAGUC
rnacentral:rRNA from 1 species